UAGGGAAUCUUCGGCAAUGGACGAAAGUCUGACCGAGCAACGCCGCGUGAGUGAAGAAGGUUUUCGGAUCGUAAAACUCUGUUGGUAGAGAAGAACGUUGGUGAGAGUGGAAAGCUCAUCAAGUGACGGUAACUACCCAGAAAGGGACGGCUAACUACGUGCCAGCAGCCGCGGUAAUACGUAGGUCCCGAGCGUUGUCCGGAUUUAUUGGGCGUAAAGCGAGCGCAGGUGGUUUAUUAAGUCUGGUGUAAAAGGCAGUGGCUCAACCAUUGUAUGCAUUGGAAACUGGUAGACUUGAGUGCAGGAGAGGAGAGUG
rnacentral:rRNA from 1 species